UGCUUCCUGGAAAAUUGGUGCCAAUGGUCCAACCAUUGUUGUGACUGAUAAUGAUUCUAAGGAGAAAUCGCGAAAGAAGAAGAGUCGAAGUUCAACUGGCGUAAUGGUGGGAAAUGACAUGGAGGAUGAAGAUGGUGUUGAAUUACCUGAUAAUUUUGACAGUUCCUCUCCAAUUACUUUGCGGGAUGAAGAUCUGCCAGAGAAGCUAGUUGCCACUUGGAAAGAGGGUAUUACUGGUGUUGAUCAGGAUUUUAAGAGUGUGAAAGAGUUCCGGGCUGCACUGCAAAAGUAUGCUGUUGCUCAUCGCUUUGUCUACAAGUUGAAGAAAAAUGAUGCUACCCGUGUAAGUGGCAGAUGUGUGGUAGAGGGUUGUUCUUGGAAAAUUCAUGCAUCUAGGGUCCCUGAUGCUCAAACAUUUAGGAUCAGAAAGUAUAAUGAUUUGCAUACAUGUGAAGGCAAAUCCUGGAAGUCUUCUCAUCGUACAAGGAAUUGGUUGGUAAGUA
rnacentral:misc_RNA from 1 species